AUGAACGCUAGCUACAGGCUUAACACAUGCAAGUCGAGGGGCAGCAUGGUCUUAGCUUGCUAAGGCCGAUGGCGACCGGCGCACGGGUGAGUAACACGUAUCCAACCUGCCGUCUACUCUUGGACAGCCUUCUGAAAGGAAGAUUAAUACAAGAUGGCAUCAUGAGUCCGCAUGUUCACAUGAUUAAAGGUAUUCCGGUAGACGAUGGGGAUGCGUUCCAUUAGAUAGUAGGCGGGGUAACGGCCCACCUAGUCUUCGAUGGAUAGGGGUUCUGAGAGGAAGGUCCCCCACAUUGGAACUGAGACACGGUCCAAACUCCUACGGGAGGCAGCAGUGAGGAAUAUUGGUCAAUGGGCGAGAGCCUGAACCAGCCAAGUAGCGUGAAGGAUGACUGCCCUAUGGGUUGUAAACUUCUUUUAUAAAGGAAUAAAGUCGGGUAUGGAUACCCGUUUGCAUGUACUUUAUGAAUAAGGAUCGGCUAACUCCGUGCCAGCAGCCGCGGUAAUACGGAGGAUCCGAGCGUUAUCCGGAUUUAUUGGGUUUAAAGGGAGCGUAGAUGGAUGUUUAAGUCAGUUGUGAAAGUUUGCGGCUCAACCGUAAAAUUGCAGUUGAUACUGGAUAUCUUGAGUGCAGUUGAGGCAGGCGGAAUUCGUGGUGUAGCGGUGAAAUGCUUAGAUAUCACGAAGAACUCCGAUUGCGAAGGCAGCCUGCUAAGCUGCAACUGGCAUUGAGGCUCGAAAGUGUGGGUAUCAAACAGGAUUAGAUACCCUGGUAGUCCACACGGUAAACGAUGAAUACUCGCUGUUUGCGAUAUACAGCAAGCGGCCAAGCGAAAGCGUUAAGUAUUCCACCUGGGGAGUACGCCGGCAACGGUGAAACUCAAAGGAAUUGACGGGGGCCCGCACAAGCGGAGGAACAUGUGGUUUAAUUCGAUGAUACGCGAGGAACCUUACCCGGGCUUAAAUUGCAGAUGAAUUACGGUGAAAGCCGUAAGCCGCAAGGCAUCUGUGAAGGUGCUGCAUGGUUGUCGUCAGCUCGUGCCGUGAGGUGUCGGCUUAAGUGCCAUAACGAGCGCAACCCUUGUUGUCAGUUACUAACAGGUUCCGCUGAGGACUCUGACAAGACUGCCAUCGUAAGAUGUGAGGAAGGUGGGGAUGACGUCAAAUCAGCACGGCCCUUACGUCCGGGGCUACACACGUGUUACAAUGGGGGGUACAGAGGGCCGCUACCACGCGAGUGGAUGCCAAUCCCCAAAACCUCUCUCAGUUCGGACUGGAGUCUGCAACCCGACUCCACGAAGCUGGAUUCGCUAGUAAUCGCGCAUCAGCCACGGCGCGGUGAAUACGUUCCCGGGCCUUGUACACACCGCCCGUCAAGCCAUGGGAGCCGGGGGUACCUGAAGUGCGUAACCGCGAGGAGCGCCCUAGGGUAAAACUGGUGACUGGGGCU
rnacentral:rRNA from 1 species